CACCGUUCAGCGGAUAUUUUAUGUUUUUUAAAAUCCUAUUUUCUUAGGAGAAAUUGAAAAGAUACCAGAUUGCCUAAUGAACGCAGUUUGUACAUCUUCGCCUUCGGGUGGCUGCUAUGAACCAUAAAUUUUUAAAAAACUACAGUGAACAGCCUUCUGGCAUACGUGAAUGCACUGGUUAGAACUCUAGCAAACAGAAGAGAUGGUUGAAGAAAUUUACGACUUGUGCAUUGUUGGUGCAGGUAUGUUUGGAUCCGCCGCUGCUAGACAUGCUUCAGCGAAUGCAGCUUUGAAAGUUUGUUUGAUAGGACCUGACGAACCAACGCCAGAAGAAAGACAGCAGCGUGACAUCUUUUCAUCACAUUAUGACGAAGGAAGAUUAAUCCGAAUUCUUUAUGACGAUCCUGUUUACCAAAUAUUGUCAAAGCAUUCUAUCAGAAGAUUUCAAGAGUUAGAAGAAUU